UGGGGAAUAUUGCACAAUGGGCGCAAGCCUGAUGCAGCCAUGCCGCGUGUGUGAAGAAGGCCUUCGGGUUGUAAAGCACUUUCAGCGAGGAGGAAGGUGGUGAGCUUAAUACGCUCAUCAAUUGACGUUACUCGCAGAAGAAGCACCGGCUAACUCCGUGCCAGCAGCCGCGGUAAUACGGAGGGUGCAAGCGUUAAUCGGAAUUACUGGGCGUAAAGCGCACGCAGGCGGUUUGUUAAGUCAGAUGUGAAAUCCCCGGGCUCAACCUGGGAACUGCAUUUGAAACUGGCAAGCUAGAGUCUCGUAGAGGGGGGUAGAAUUCCAGGUGUAGCGGUGAAAUGCGUAGAGAUCUGGAGGAAUACCGGUGGCGAAGGCGGCCCCCUGGACGAAGACUGACGCUCAGGUGCGAAAAGGCGUGGGGGAGCAAAACAGGAUUAGAUACCCUGGUAGUCCACGCUGUAAACGAUGUCGAUUUUGGAGGUUGUGCCCCUUGAGGCGUGGCUUCCGGAGCUAACGCGUUAAAUCGACCG
rnacentral:rRNA from 1 species